UCUGACACAUUCUAUUUCAAGUUAAAAUAAUAGUAAUCCGUAUUAUCUAUUAUAUUAUAUAGAAAUGGGAUCAUAUGAGACCACAUCCCUUAUGUGAGAACCCUUUUAUAUGUGAGGACUCAUUAUAACCGUUGGAUCAAUUACAUCGAACGGCCGCAAUUAAUCCCGGUCAAAUGCAUUUUUUCUCUCUCCUCCUUCCUCUAUCAUGCACAAUUUUCUCUCUCCUCGUUCAGUUCAUCCUUCCUUAGAAAAUCGAAAAUCCCAACAAAUUUGAAAGAUUUUAGAGAGAGAAGCAAUACUAUGACAGUAAAAGAGCUUGAGAAAUCAUUGGCGACAACUGAAAUUGAAGACCAGAGAAAAGACGAUGAUGAUUUGGAGGAAGGCAAGAUUAUUGACGACAACUCAAACGCCGAAAAACCCAGCAAAUCAAUCGCAACAACUCAUCCUCUUGAGAAUGCUUGGACUUUUUGGUUCGAUAAUCUUACUGCUAAAUCAAAACAAGCUGCUUGGGGUAGCUCUAUUUGACCCAUUUAUACUUUCUCUACUGUUGAAGAAUUCUGGAGGUCAUACUAAAUGAUUUGUGGCCUGGAAAACGAGUUGAAGAAGGCAAUUAUACUACUAUUCCACUAAGGGAUGAGUUUCUUGAAAAUGCCCGUGUUUUUAUUUGUGAAACCUAUUAUUAGCGCAUUGACAUGGGGUAUGUUUAUGUUAUAUGACUUUGUGUACUUUGUUUCGGUAAACAAAGAUAAUCUUAUGGCAAUAACUGUUUGAUUUGGACCCUAUAGUCUAUUUUAGUUAACCAACUAUGAUGUCUCUCACGUAUUGCUUGUCUCCCCUGUAAAUCUUCCUUUGCAACUGGUGUAGAUUUUGGUAUUCUUGGUGAACUUGCAGUCAUAUAUUGCUGUAAUA